ensembl:lncRNA
GCAGGGCAGCCAGUGGAAUCCGGCCGGCGUCGGCUUCCGAUGCGUUCCUUCGCCGCUUCCAGCAGGCAGCGCGCGGGCUGCUGGCGGAAGUCCCAGGGGCCACGCUAGGGGAAGCUGAAGAAGAGCUGGCAGGAUGAGCUUCCGCCCUGGAGUUGGGACUGCGCUUGCGGGUAUUUUCCCUUCUGUGCUGAGUUGCUUGUGGGUGCGAGUGUGAUAAUCAGGUCUCAGAAUUCCGUUGGUGCAGGGCACACUGCACGACGUAGAGUGUGUCCUCUACAUAGGUCUUCUGCACGUUACCUCAGAGCAUGAAUGGAGGCACAUGGCAGGCUGGAUGUGACUUCUGUGGUGACUUGGAAGAUGGACCCGUCAAGCUCUGUACAGGAGGCACAAAGGGAAAACAAAUAUCCACCGAAUGUUUGUUAAUGGGCCCUGCUUGAUCCAGCAGUUCAAGGAGGGCAGGGAAAGGACAGUCAGUUGGAUACAAAAUGUUGUGUUGCUGGUGUCCACAAUAGCCAAAAAGUGGAAGCAACUCAAAUGUCCAUCAUCUGAUGAAUGGAUUGAAAAUAUAAUAUAAGGUAUGUCCACACAGUGGAAUGUUACUCAGCAAUAAAAAUGAAUGGAAUGCAUCUGCUACCACAUGCAUACAUCUUUAAAAAUAUGUUAAAUAAAAGAAGCCAGGCACAAAAGUUGGAAUGGAGGGUGAAUGCUUAGUGGAUCUGGAGUUUCUUCUUUGGGUAACAAAAAGAUUCUGGAGCUAAAUAAUGGUGAUUAUUGUACAACCUGGUGAACAUACCUAAUCUUGCUGAAUUGUACACUUUAAAAUACCUAAAAUGGGUAUUUUGCCACAGUUCUUUAGAAAUGAUAUCUCAUUGCAGUCUUGAUUUGACUCCUCUGAAUAUGAGCACCAUUGAGCGUCUCUUCGUAUAGCAUUGUAUCAUACAUACUUAUUUUCUUGGGACAUGCUAUUAUGGCUUGGAUCUAAAAUGUCCCCCAAAGGUCUCAGGGGUAGGAUAGUAGGGGGAUCAAACCCAGGGUCUUCACACUGAUCUACAUCUCCAGCCCUUUUUACUUUGUGUUUUGAGACAGGGCCUCGCUAAGUUGCCCAGGCUGGGUUUCAACUUGCAAUUGAUUCUCCUGCCUCAGCCUCCCAGAGUGCUGGGAUUACAAGCAUUCAUCACCACUUCUGGCUUCACUUUCAGAAGUCUUAAUAAAUAGUUCUUAGGGCCAGGGAUUUAGCUCAGUGGCACCACCGCCUCCUCGAAAGCACAAGGUCCUGAGUUCAAUCCCCAGUACCAAUAAAUAAAUAAAUAAAUAAGUAGUUCUUAACUUUAAUAUAGUAGGAUUUGUCACAAUUUAUGAUUGUCAUUUUUGUGUUAAAAAUAGUCUUGUACUCUGAGGUGAGAAUAAAU